CCCCAUAGCAUAUUCAGUAUUUCCCCCAGGUAGUCUAACAGAAGAGGUAGUCUAUUGAAUGCAUUUUCCCGAUUGACUCUGUCAAAAGGCAAAAUGACAACACAUCUGGUUGAAACAUGGAAUUGGCGCUUAUCUGUGAUUCUGGAAUCAGGGAACACCUUAUUGUGUCAAAUGGAAUGAGCAUUCCAUUGAGCUGAGAAUAGGACAUUGGCUUAAAGACACAGCUAAAUCCAGAGAAGGCAGGAAAAGGACAAACACGGGAUUGGGGGCUGGGGAUUUAGCACAGAGCUGCUUCUGCCUGCCUGGCAAGGGCAAGGUCCUGAGUUCGAUCCCCAGUACCGAAAAAAACAAAACAAAAACCACAGCAUUGGUUGUUUGAAAUUUACUCCAUGGGGUUAAAAGAGAAAGAACUUCCUUAUUAUGUGGAUUCGGGAAAAGGAGCAAUAUACUCGCCGGCCACGUACCGUGUUUAGCCAAAAUCAACUGGCAGUAUUGAUGGAUACCUUUGAGAAGAACACUCAUCCAGACACUGAUGCUAUUCAUGAAUUGGCAUCAAAACUGAAUCUUGACGAAGUGGUGAUAAAGAACUGGUUUAAGAACCAGCGGAUGAAACAGAAGAAAAUCAGGCUAAAAGUGCAAGGAGAUGCAUCACCUGGAACAUCCACACAGCAGGUUUUGGAAGAGAAGGAGCCCCCACUACAAAAUCCUGCGACGAAUGCCUCACCAAUUGCUGGAUCUUCAGAUGACGGCAACCAUGAUCCACAGGAGCCCUCUGAGAGCCACAUCACCAGAAGAGAUGGAGCCCCUGUGUUGAGUUCAGCAGUGGACACUCCGCAUGAUAACGUCCAGGAUACGUGUAUGGGGGAUUUGGAUGUUCCUUGG
rnacentral:lncRNA from 1 species